GGGGAUUGCGAGUCACUGCGUUUCCGGCGCGGCUUGAGAACGUCUUAGGAACUAGUACUUACAUAAUCUCAAGUCCCUGAGGGGCCAGAGAUCCCACCACGCAAAAUAGCAUACAGACCCAAGACUUGGGGAGAGGCAGUGAGUGCAUCAGAAAUGGAUGGGUACAUCUGAUUCCCACACGCGGGGCUCAGCAUAGUUAGCAGGAGACCUUCAGAUUGAGAAAAAAUGCAAGUCUUUGUUUGGCCUCUAAUAUCUGGGAAGGAUGGAGGGAGCUCAGGAGGCACAGAAAAGAUGGCGUAUGAAUCCUGUCCGGCCUGAACCAGGCUGGAGUUGUGCCUCUGGAUAGCUUCAAGCACUGAUCAGAGUGUCAGCCCCCGCUCCUUGAACAGAUGCUUUAGAGCCUCUUCCAGUUGCCGGUUUGUUCCCUGAAGCCCCUUCACCACGUGCGCUGCCCACUCGAAGUAUUCCUGGACUCGAUGUUCUGACCAUCCUGCAUAAGAGUCGACAGAAACUUGCUAGCGUGAUGUCAAGGAAAGCACUGCCUUUUCCCCACUUCCUGGCAAGCUUGGUUCAAGGCCAUGAGUUCCUGAUGGAAUGAGCUGUCCUGAAAACUUCCCCUUGGCCCAGCUAUUGUAUUUUUACUGUAUGAAAGAAGAUCAGAG
rnacentral:sRNA from 1 species